rnacentral:lncRNA from 10 species
AUCCAUUCUAGGUAAAGAUGAAGUAUUUGUGAUUCUUCAUUUUGCUACUCAUUAAAAGUAUUACUCAUUCAUAUAUGCAUGAGUCUGAUGUGGAAUCUCUAUUUUGGUCCACUCAUCUAUUUGCUUAUCUGGAAGCCAUAGACAUACUUGUUUUGGGUGUUUUGUUUUUUUUGGUUUUUUUGUUUUGUUUUUUAAGAGACAUGUUCUUUUUAUGUUAACCAGACUGGACUCAAACAUCUGGCCUCAAGUGAUCCUCCUGCUUUGGCCUCCUAAAGUGUUGAGAUUACAGACAUGAAUCACCGCACUCAGCCUGAGACAUACUUCUUUAAUUCCUGUAACAUUAUUUUAUGCUUUGAUACCUGGGUACUUUCUAGCUCUACAACUCUGGACAACAGGAUCUAAUAAAAAAGGAGAAGCCCAUCUUGAAGACAUCAUUCUUCUUUUUCAGAAGUUCCUAAAAAUACACUGUGAAAUAUUAAGAAUGUAGAACUCAUGGACUAAGAUCUGGUCUAGGCUAUAGACUCCCUAGCCCAUUGGGAGGGAUAUUCCUCAAAUUCCCCAGACUGAUUACCAUGUGGCCUAAGUCUGAAGAUCACCCUAAAGACAGAGCAUGGUAUCAUGGGAAAUUCAAGAGCAUCAGAGCUUCACAAACCCAAACCCUGGCACAGCCACUCACUAGCUUCAGGGUGACCUUGAGCAAUCUUUUUUUUUUUUUUUCUAAGACAGGAAAAAGAAUAAUCUGAGGCAGAGGUGGGCAGAUCACCUGAGGUCAGGAGUGUGAGACCAGCCCGGCCGACAUGGCAAAACCCCAUCUUUACUAAAAAUACAAAAAUUAAGCCAGGCGUGGUGUUGCACAGGCUGGAGUACAGUGGUGCAAUCUCAAUUCACUGCAACGUCCACCUCCCGGGUUCAAGCAAUUCUCCUGCCUCAGCCUCUUGAGUAGCUGAGAUUACAGGCAUGCGCCACCAUGCCUGGCUAAUUUUUGUAUUUUCAGUAGAGAUGGGGUUUCACCAUGUUGGCCAGGCUGGUCUUGAACUCCUGACCUCAGGUGAUCCUCCCACCUCGGCCUCCCAAAGUGCUGGGAUUACAGGUGUGAGCCACUGCGUCCGGACAACCUUGAGCAAUCUAUUUAACCUCUUUCAUUUUUCACUUUCCUCUUCUGCAAAAUGAGGAUGACAGCAAUACCUUCUUUGCUUGGUUGUUAUGAAGACUGGAAAAAAAGAUACACAAAGUACCUAAUGCCUGGCAGAGACAGGGCCCUCAAUAAAUUAUUAUUAUUAUUAUUAUUAUUAUUACAAUUACACAACUAUUAUUAUUCUUCUUCUCUUAAGUGCUUUUACUUAUCACCCAUGACAAGUGAACAAAGAACUGUUCACCUGAACAAAUAAUUAUGUUGGUCAUGGUCUUUGCCUUCUCGGAAAUGACAGACUAUGGUAAAUAUAAAAUAUACCUCUUUUCGCAAUCUAAGAUUACCUGUCCCUGUUGUACUUUAAUCUCACCACUUAAUGUUGGAGAGGAAUAUAAUGAAGAGUAUGCUGUGUUCUUUGUGCACAUGUUUAAUCUACAAUACUGGACUGGAAACUUGUGUCAGCUCAACUCUUCUACGAACAAGAUGCCAAGACAAAAUUAGUCAUGCAGGAGAUUUCUUGGGAGAAACGCCUGUGAAGGAUUUGGGGAGGGGCAACCAGCAUGGGCAGGGAGGGCCUUCAGAAUAGGAGGGAAGGAGGAGGACUGGGUAGUAGGAGUCAGACGGCAUUGCAGCACUGAGUCUGAGCCAGGCCGACCAGGAGGCCUCAAGCAAAGACUCCUCAUUAGAGGAGUCCCAUGCCAGCCAGAAAUAGCCUGACCAUGGUACCAUACAACUACCACAUUCAGUUACUAGCUAGAAGAAUCCCCAGAAGUCUGUGACUUGUCAGCGUGAAUGCAGGGGCAGAGCCAGAGGGGCCGCAGCUGGAAACUGUCAGCUAACUACCCUCCUCAUGAGCUUCUCACGCAAGUGGAUUUGAGCAGUGCACGCCCGCAGCCUCUAGAGAACUCCCUGAAGACAAUAAUUGUGUUGGUAUUAUUGCUUGUACCUAGUAAGUUCUCAACAAUUGUUUGUCGAAAACUGAAUACGUGAUGGUUUUUAGCAACCAGCAGGAAGAACAACCCAUUUGCUAAAUCCAGGUGGAUUAGGUCUCAUAAUUCCUGAAGAAAGAAAAUGUCUUCCAUCAUUUGAAGUAAAUGACAAGGCUCAGAAAAUACUCCUGUGGCAUAGCAGAUCCCAGCCUCCAAACAAUAAGUGGGUUGGGGGUGCUGAGGUGAUGAGCUGACAGCAAAAGAAAGAAGUGUCAGGCAAAAGUGGCCUGAAUUAAACCCACCAUUGACUUCAUUAUGCACUUAAUUUCACUUGUAUAGACAUAGCCACAGGAUGAAGUAACCAACAGUGGGUAUGGCCUCAAAGGUAAAAGCAAGGUGGUACAAAAACUGCUUCUGAAACAGAUGACAGAGUGGAGAGAGCCUCAGGAGCUCGGGGUGGAGGGAAGAUUUCAAUCGUGGAGGUACACUUGCCCAAAGCAAGCACCCAGCAACUGGAAAUCAGGUCACCGCAGCACUCACUGGAGGCUUGAAAAGGAUAACUAACUCCAGUUUUCAAAGAAUUAAAAUAGCUAUGGGUGAGGCAAGAGGAAGAAAUGACUCACAAAUCUGGAGGUAAAAUGAGAUCUCUGAGCUAAUGAUGACAAAUAAAGGAGGGCAGAGAGAAGAAGCAGUGUUCUUGUCAAGUUCAUUUCUCAUUUUCAUAAUAGACAGCUAUCUACUUCAAUUAAAAAUGAUUUAUUGAACACCUGCUAUGCACAAAAUGAAAGAAGCAAGGUUUCAAAAACAUUCCCAUGUCCAAGCAGCAUGACUGAGCUCCUCCCAAUGCCAGGUAUAUAUGGUGGAGUCUGCAGAAAUGAAGAAAAUCAUUCCCAGUGACUACCCUAAAUCCCACCAAGGAGACAAAUCCAAAAAACAAUUAAAAUACAAUAACAUAGUACAUUGUGAAUCAUGCAGUGAUAGAGGCAGGUCUAAGUGUUAUGAAAACACUCUAAGUAGGGCAAUCAUUUAACUCAUCAUUAAACCAGAAUGCUUUGAAAGUAGAAGGGGGCAUUAUCAAUAAUUAUACUGUGACAAUGGGCAUAAACUGGGAUUGUUCCUGGACAAACCAGGAUGAAUAUCAUCCUAGUUGUAAGGAAAAAAACUGGGGAGAGGCCAGGCAUGGUAGCUAAUGCCUGUAAUCCCAGCACUUUAGAAGGCCAGGGUUGGGGGACUGCUUGAGCCCAGGAGUUUGAGACUAGCCUGGGCAACACGGUGAGACCCUGUCUCUAUUAUUUAAAAGAAAUAAUGUUUUUCUAAAGUGGGAAGAAAAGGAUAAAGAGGAGAAUUAAGGAGGAAGAAAACUGGAAUUAAGAGGUCAAGUUGUUAAAGAGGAAAGGGAUUAGAUGGGCAUGGCAGAGUAAGAAAAAGAAAUAGCCCAAAGGAGUGACUAGAAUUUGAAAGCUGAAUCUCAAAAAUAAAAUCAUUUGAUUUUACUACUCUGAGGCUCAAGGUAGUUAAAUGACAAAGCUGAGAUUUGAACCCCUGCUUGUGAACUCCAAAGUCUGUAUUAUAUAAUUAGUAGCACAAGCACAAUUAGUACUUAGAAUGUCUAAUUUCUAAGUCAGUGCUACUUUUACUGCACUCUACAGAGUAAGUGAGCUUGUACUGGGUUGAAGAGCAUCCCCCAAAAUUUAUGUCCACAUGGAACCUCAGAAUGUGACCUUGUUUGGUAAUAAGAUCUUGAAGAUGUAAUCAAGUUAGGAUGAGGUCAUGCUGGAUUAGGGUGGGCCCCAAUCCAGUAACUGGUAUUCUUAUAAGAAGAAGAAAAUGAGAACACAGACACACAAUGAGAAUGCCAUGUGAGGAGACAUAGAGACGCACAGGGAAGAAUGCCCUAUAAAGAUGAGGGCAAAGAUUGGAAUAACAUGUCUACAAGCCAAGAUAUGGCAAGGAUUGCUGGCAACCACCAGAAGAAGCUAGGAAGAUAGGAAGAGGCAAGAAAAUAUUCUGCCAUUGAAUCUUAGGAGGAAAUAUGGCCCUGCCACCUUUAUUUCAGAAUUCUAGCCUCCAGCUCUGUGAGACAAUAAAUUUCUGUUGUUUAAGACACCAAGCUUACGGUACUUCAUUCCAGCAGCCCUAGUAAACUACCAUAGAGCUAGAGAAAAAAAGAGCAGGAGACAGAGCAGGAAGGGUGAGACAGAAGGGAGGUUUUAGGGAGGCCAGGAGCAAAGAAAAAGGUGAUGUCACCAAGACCCCAAAAACCAAAAACUGUUUCUUUGAUUCCAUGAUGACACCUCCCCUUAUCUCCAACCUUACCAUUCUCACCACUACUCUCUCUUUUAAGGAUCCCAUAACAUUGUUGGUCAGUUAUACCCAAGUAAAAAGAAAACUGUAGUGAAAGCAAAGAAAGAGUUGACAUGAGCUGCUGAUAGGAAUUAAACCCACACCACUGUGGAUGUCAGCUAUGAACAAUGACUCACAGCUUUAACUAGGAAAGUUGAUUUUGAUAAAUUGAGGAUAGCUAUGGUAAUCUCUAAUCACUAAAAUAGUAAGACGGUGUGUAAGUAUCAAGCUGAUAGGAGGAGAAGUUGAAUAAUGAAAACAUUAGAUGAAUAUAAAACCAAAAGUUAAGAAAGAACAAAAGGGGAGCGAAGAAAACAAAGAUUAUCAGUGAUUGCAUCAAAUAGAAAUGAAAUAAAUGAUUCAAUUAAAAGAGAAAUUAUUGUAUUAUUAAAAAAAAAACAAAACAUGCUAUAUACUUACUAGAGACAUGUCUAAAAUAAGAGGAUAUAGAAAGGUUGGAAAUAAAAAGAUAGAAAAAGAUAUGUCAAGCAAACACUAAAACAUAAAACUAUCUGUGAUUCUCUCUGAUACAGACCUCAGACAAAUAUUUAGGAACACAUAGUGUAUUCAUUCAUUUUCUGUUGCUUAUAAUGAAAUACUUGAAACUUGAUAAUUUAUCAAGAAAAGGAAUUUAUUUCUUGCAGUUCUUGAGACUGGGAAGCCCAAGGCCAAGGGGACAUAUCUGGUAAAAGCCUUCUUGUUGGUGAAGACUUUCUACACAAUCCCAAGGUAGUGCAGAGCAUCACACAGACAGGGGGCUGAGCAUACUAAGAUGCUAGCUCAGGUCUCUCUCUUAUAAACCACAAGUUCCCCUCCAAUGAUAACCCAUUAAUCCAUUAACUCAUUAAUUCAUUAAUCAAUUAAUCCAUGAAUGAAUUAAUCCAUUCAUGAGGGGAGAGUCCUCAUGAUCCAAUCACAUCUUAAAGGCUGCACCACUCAAUAUUCCUACAUUAGGGAUUAAAUUGAGCAUGAGUUUUGGAGGUGACAAAUAUUCAAACCAUAGCACAUAGUUCAUUUGGAAAGUGAUCACAAGAAGCUCUAAUAGGAGAACUGGGAAGGGGAAAGGGUGAUAAAAGGAAGAGAAAGAAGCCAAUGCCAGGUAUUAGUGAGCAGGUUACCACAAAGGACACCUGGGAGUCAGCCCUGCUGAGGACCUCUGAGAGAUAAUACAGAAUAUCCCUCACAGUGGUCCCACCCAAUAGAUGACGAAGCUGAGUUAUUUAUCCUCCAGUUUCCAUCUGUCACUGGAUGAGGACUGCUACUGGUGUUUCAACUUCCCAGAACCUUUAGCCUCCCUUCCCUGCACACGAACCAAGCUUACCAGAGAAAGCUCUCAAAUGGAGUACUGGUGAUGGCAGUAGGAAAACCAUCAGUGUGCACAGCAAUGGCAAGUGACAGGAAAAUAUGAGCAGAAUAUUAAGAGGGUCUGCUACAUAGUUAAAAUAGAUUUUAAGGGGAAAAUCAUUACUAGUGGUAAAGAGGGAUAUUUUACUUUUUAAUUUAUAUAAAUGUAUGGGGUGCAAGUGCAAUUUUAUUGCAUGCAGAGAUUGCAUAAUGGUCAAGUCAGAGCUUUUAGGGCAUCCAUCACUCAAAUAAUGUACUUUGUACCCAUUAAGUAAUUUCUCAUCCUCCACCUCUCUGUCAUUCCUUUGCUCUUCUUAGUCUCCAUUGUCUAUCUCCCAUUUUGCAGGUUGUCUGUUCA